GACGAACGCUGGCGGCGCGCUUAACACAUGCAAGUCGAACGGAAAGGCCUGCUUUCCCUUGUGGAUUGCGGGUACUCGAGUGGCGAACGGGUGAGUAACACGUGAGUGAUCUGCCCCCAACUUGGGGAUAAGCCUGGGAAACUGGGUCUAAUUCCCGAUAGGACUGCAGGGUGGUGCCUGUGGUGGAAAACGAUUUUCUAGUGGUUGGGGAUGAGCUCGCGGCCUAUCAGCUUGUUGGUGGGGUAAUGGCCUACCAAGGCGGCGACGGGUAGACGGCCUGGGAGGGGGGACGGCCACAUUAGGACUGCGAUUCGGCCCAGACUCCUAGGGGAGGAAGCAGUGGGGAAUAUUGCACAAUGGGCGGAACCAUGAUGCAGCGACGGAGCGUGGGAGAUGGCGGCCGUCGGGUUGGAAACUCCGUUCGACAGCGAGGAAGCGACCGGGUUGGAAGGGUGGUGAAGGUAGUGGUAGAAGAAGCACCGGCUAACUACGUG
rnacentral:rRNA from 1 species